AAAUUUCUAUUUUACAAGUUUUUCAGGGAAUCAUAUUCUUCACUGAGAAAAAUGUGUUACUCUUUUGGACAAUUUAUCUUAUUUCUAUCAUAUAAAAUGUAUUUUUUUUAUUGACCUUAAAAGAAACUCUAGCAUGAAAUUAAAGGAAAGGGGAAAAAAUAGAUCUGGUGCACCCAAACAUUAGGAGAAAAUGAAAAAUAUACAGCCAACCGUUUGUGAGUCAUCAAAAAGUCAAAGUCAGCCUGGUCAACAUGGCAAAACCCCAUCUCUACAAAAAAUACAAAAAUAAGCUCGGUGUAGUGGCGUGUGCCUGUAAUCCCAGCUACUCAAGAGGCCGAAGCAUGAGAAUUGCUUGAACUCAGGAGGCGGAGGUUUCAAUGAGCCGAGAUCGUGCCACUGCACUCCAGCCUGGGCAAGAGAGAGAGAGACCUUGUCUCAAAAAACAAAACAAAAAAAGUCAAAGUCAUAAUAAGCAAAUUAUUGGCUUCUUUCUUCUAGACUAAAAGAAAUUAAAGAGUUGAAACAAUUGCAAGGGCUGAAACUAGAUUGGAUCUUGGUUUGAAUUUUAAAAGAGCAUAAAAUAUUCUUGCAAUAAUUGUAAAAAUUUGAAUGCGGACUCAGUCCUAGAUUGUAUUAAAAUAUUUUUAAUUUUUUAAGCUUGACAAACGCACUGAUUGUUAUACUUUAAAUAACCAAAAAUCUGAGAAUCCACAGUGCUACAGAAAAUAAGUGAUAAAAUGGGAAAAAAUAGUGAAGAACUUCUUUUAGGAAAACUACCAAUAAAUGUAGAAUGGAUGAUUC